rnacentral:rRNA from 1 species
GACGAACGCUGGCGGCGUGCUUAACACAUGCAAGUCGAACGGAAAGGCCCUGCUUUUGUGGGGUGCUCGAGUGGCGAACGGGUGAGUAACACGUGAGUAACCUGCCCUUGACUUUGGGAUAACUUCAGGAAACUGGGGCUAAUACCGGAUAGGAGCUCCUGCUGCAUGGUGGGGGUUGGAAAGUUUCGGCGGUUGGGGAUGGACUCGCGGCUUAUCAGCUUGUUGGUGGGGUAGUGGCUUACCAAGGCUUUGACGGGUAGCCGGCCUGAGAGGGUGACCGGCCACAUUGGGACUGAGAUACGGCCCAGACUCCUAUGGGAGGCAGCAGUGGGGAAUAUUGCACAAUGGGCGGAAGCCUGAUGCAGCAACGCCGCGUGCGGGAUGACGGCCUCCGGGUUGUAAACCGCUUUCGCCUGUGACGAAGCGUGAGUGACGGUAAUGGGUAAAGAAGCACCGGCUAACUACGUG